rnacentral:rRNA from 1 species
GACGAACGCUGGCGGCGUGCCUAAUACAUGCAAGUUGAGCGCUGAAGGUUGGUACUUGUACCAACUGGAUGAGCAGCGAACGGGUGAGUAACGCGUGGGGAAUCUGCCUUUGAGCGGGGGACAACAUUUGGAAACGAAUGCUAAUACCGCAUAAAAACUUUAAACACAAGUUUUAAGUUUGAAAGAUGCAAUUGCAUCACUCAAAGAUGAUCCCGCGUUGUAUUAGCUAGUUGGUGAGGUAAAGGCUCACCAAGGCGAUGAUACAUAGCCGACCUGAGAGGGUGAUCGGCCACAUUGGGACGGAGACACGGCCCAAACUCCUACGGGAGGCAGCAGUAGGGAAGCUUCGGCAAUGGACGAAAGUCUGACCGAGCAACGCCGCGUGAGUGAAGAAGGUUUUCGGAUCGUAAAACUCUGUUGGUAGAGAAGAACGUUGGUGAGAGUGGAAAGCUCAUCAAGUGACGGUAACUACCCAGAAAGGGACGGCUAACUACGUG